rnacentral:rRNA from 1 species
UACAGAGGUCCCAAGCGUUGUUCGGAUUCACUGGGCGUAAAGGGUGCGUAGGUGGUGAAGUAAGUCGGAUGUGAAAUCUCGGAGCUUAACUCCGAAACUGCAUUGGAAACUACUUUGCUCGAGGGUUGGAGGGGGGACUGGAAUUCUCGGUGUAGCAGUGAAAUGCGUAGAUAUCGGGAGGAAUACCGAUGGCGAAGGCAGGUCUCUGGGCUGACACUGACGCUCAUGCACGAAAGCGUGGGGAGCAAACAGG